rnacentral:lncRNA from 1 species
GCACGAGGCCCCCUUCCGCCGCUGCUGUAGCCGCUUCCGUCAGUCGGCAGGCGGAGCCAGGGCUUCUUCUGUCGCCGUCACCUUCCCUUUAUCCCUUGAAGCAAACGUGGAACGGGUUGCAGGCAGCCGACCGACCGCUUAGUGGUCCCUCCGGCGGCGUUCCGGCCUGCCGGCGGCGUGUUGGCUCCUAUCAUUCCGUGCAGUCGGCAUCGUUCCUCCACCAUACGGAGGUCUGUCUCUUUUGCUGGAUGCCCCCAAACUGAAGUGGAAAGUUCUGAUGACUCCGUCAGUCGUUCAAUCAUCUUUAAUCCCGUUCUCAGUGCCAUUUUCUGUCAUAUUUUCUCGCGUAUCGUAGAAUCACGCUGCUAGCGCCUCAUGCCUAGAAUUAUCUGUCGAAGCUGAAUUGCCUGGCUGUUGUAUUAGUUCCAUUUGGUUUGUUGUAUUGGUAACCGAAGAAUGGAAAAUAGAGCAAGCAUUUGUAGGAGACCCGCCCCAAUAACUUCGGAGGCAUAAAUUAUUUGUCGCAGAUUUUUUUUUUUCAUGUUGCGAGAGAGAACUCGUCAGUCUUUCCUUCCAUUACUUAAUUUUUUAUACCACAAAUUCAGCGUUUAUCUUUCUUAUCCCGAUUUAACGCAUCUCAGUCAUGUUCGCGUUACUUUUCCGUCAUUACAGAAGGCGUGAUGGAGUUUUGAUCAGUAUGGAUUCAGCAUGACAGCACAAAUGUGUCUCUGCACCCUCCUUUCCAGUUGCCAUUCAUUGCAUUUCUGUAUCCAGAAAAACUGAACCAGCCUUUACACUCAAGCGGAGAGGCUUACAGAACAAGCAAAUCAAGCUGGCUAGCCAAUCCUUCUUGGAACUCAAUUUUUCUUUGCUCAGCACCCACAUUUUUAUAUAUUUUCC